rnacentral:rRNA from 1 species
UACCAGCACCCCGAGUUGUCGGGACGAUUAUUGGGCCUAAAGCAUCCGUAGCCUGUUCUACAAGUCCUCCGUUAAAUCCACCUGCUCAACAGAUGGGCUGCGGGGGAUACUAUAGGGCUAGGAGGCGGGAGAGGCAAACGGUACUCAGUGGGUAGGGGUAAAAUCCAUUGAUCUACUGAAGACCACCAGUGGCGAAGGCGGUUUGCCAGAACGCGCUCGACGGUGAGGGAUGAAAGCUGGGCGAGCAAACCGG